GAUGAACGCUGACAGCAUGCUUAACACAUGCAGGUCGAUGGGGAAGUGGUGCUUGCACCAUGGCAACCAUGGCGGACGGGUGAGUAACGCGUAAGGGACUUACCUGCAGGACUGGGAUAACAGGGGGAAACUCCUGACAAGACCGGAUAAUGUCAUGGAGCUGCAUGGCUUUAUGAUGAAAGGAGACGCCUGCGGAGAGCCUUGCGUCCUAUUAGCUAGUUGGUGAGGUAAUGGCUCACCAAGGCGAAGAUAGGUAGCCGGCCUGAGAGGGUGGACGGCCACAAGGGGACUGAGAUACGGCCCUUACUCCUACGGGAGGCAGCAGUGGGGAAUAUUGGACAAUGGGGGCAACCCUGAUCCAGCAAUUCUGUGUGCACGAAGAAGGUUUUCGGAUUGUAAAGUGCUUUCAGCAGGGAAGAAGUAAGUGACGGUACCUGCAGAAGAAGCGACGGCUAAAUACGUG
rnacentral:rRNA from 1 species